rnacentral:rRNA from 1 species
GACGAACGCUGGCGGCGUGCUUAACACAUGCAAGUCGAACGGUGAAGCGCCUUCCUUUUUGGUGGGUGUGGAUGAGUGGCGAACGGGUGAGUAACACGUGAGUAACCUGCCCCCUUCUUCUGGAUAACCGCAUGAAAGUGUGGCUAAUGCGGGAUAUUCUGGGUCUGUCGCAUGAUGGGUCUGGGAAAGAUAUUGUUUCGGUGGGGGAUGGGCUCGCGGCCUAUCAGCUUGUUGGUGGGGUGAUGGCCUACCAAGGCGGUGACGGGUAGCCGGCCUGAGAGGGUGGACGGUCACACGGGGACUGAGACACGGCCCAGACUCCUACGGGAGGCAGCAGUGGGGAAUAUUGCACAAUGGGAGCAAGCCUGAUGCAGCGACGCCGCGUGAGGGAUGGAGGCCUUCGGGUUGUGAACCUCUUUCGCCAGUGAAGCAGGCCUGCCUCGUUUGUGGGUGGGUUGACGGUAGCUGGAUAAGAAGCGCCGGCUAACUACGUG